rnacentral:rRNA from 1 species
AUGAACGAUAUUUGUCAUAUUGCUGAAUAUGCAUACUUAACUUGCAGCAAGUAUGAUGCCUAUUUAACUUCGAUUGGCCACGGGAAUAACUUAGAGAUUAGUCGCAUUCGCCAUGAGAAAUUUCAUGAGUGGUUUAAGCUCCAUGUGGCACAACUAAUUGCAAAUGGUGAAGAUAUUUCUGAAGAGAUUCAAACUUUAGCUAAUGGGCCCUUCUUAGCUGCAAGGAAGUGUAAUAGCUAUACCAUAGAUGGGUACAAUUUCCACACAAAUUCGUAUGAUGACGGUAGACCUACCCAAAGCAGCGGGGUUGCUCUUGUAUCUCAGAUUUUGUCUUCCACAAGUGAAGAUAAUGAAAAUCUUAUGGUCAGCAAUAAAAUAUAUUAUGGUGUGAUAACUGAAAUCCUUGAGUUAAAUUAUAACAACAAAGGAAGUAUUGUGCUUUUCAAAUGUGAUUGGGUUGACAAUAGUGCACAAGACAAGUGGGUUCAAGUCGAUGAUCUUGGUGUCACACGUGUGAACUUCAAGCAUUUACUCAAGUCUGAUGAACCUUUCAUUUUGGCAUCUCAAGCAACCCAAGUGUACUAUGUGCAAGAUAAGCAUGAUAAAGACUGGUAUUCUGUUAGAAGCUUUCCUCAUCCACGAGACCUGUAUGAUAUGUUUGGAGUGGGAGAUGAAGAUUUUGACCACCAUGAUGCACCUACUGUGUCAAUUGCUGAUCUGGAUGCCAAUGUAGAUCUUAGUGUUGAUGUUAGGAAUAUACCUCGUAGUAGGAUGGAUAUAGAUGGAACACUUGUUCCUGCAGUUCAGCAACCAAAGUGUGUGCCUUUUCCUUUCAUUUUUCAGUUACAUGCUUAUAUACUUGAUAUCCAAUGUGUCAAUUCUAAUGUGCUAUAA